GCAAAGAUGAAAGAAGCAUCAGAUGCAAAAUUUCAAGUGCAGAUUUUUCUUCCUUAGGAAUUCUUUGUUGAAAUGGACCUGUUCCUAAGUUAAUGAUGACUCUCUACACCUUUGUAUAGAAAGAUCUCCAACAUUACCAGAUCCAACUAAAACUUCACCAAUUUGCAAAUUAUCCAUCAGCCAUUGUCUGAAUCUAUGCAAUGCUUUGGAUGUCUAAGUGAACAUGUGUGGCUUCAGGUGCUAUUUUCCAAUCUUUUCCAGAUGAUCCCACAUGGAAACUUGCUCAGACGCCCAGUUUCAGAUCUGAGAGAUUGGAGGGACCUUUAAGAGAUAGAGAGAGAGGAAGCUGUGCUGGAGCAUUUGCCCCGACAUCUGUCUUCUUUUCUCCUAAAGAUCUGGAGCUGCACAUUUUUAGCUGGAUGGCAUCUGAGGUGAUGUGAUGAGCCAUCUGAACCAUAUGGGCAAGGACGAUUCUCUAGAGAUGAAAAAGUGGCAUGAUGGAAG